rnacentral:lncRNA from 1 species
AUGUGGGUUUUCUCAUUUUCUCCUCUGUCACCUUGGAAAGACCGAGGAAGGAGCUGCAUCCUGGCCUGGCUCGUGGAGGAGCCCAGCCCAGGAAAAGCCCUGGAAGCCCAGGCACAACAGCACCACAAGGACACAGCAAAAUCCACACUGAGCCAAGAGCCACAGCCCAGCCUGUCCCCUCAGCCACAGCUCUUCUCUGCCAUGAAUUGUUUCACAGACCUGCAGGAGGCCAAAGCAGCCAAGGCAGAGCUGGAAUCCACGUGCCCAGCACCUGGGGACAGCACAGGGGAUGGAAACCCUGCCAAGAAUUAUUUUAACCUUCCAUAUUUCUGGCAGCAGAACUUCAGCCAAACGGUUCCUACUGAUUUUUCUUGGGUUAUGUCACUCUGCCUCAAGCUGGUUCAGACCAAAACGAUCCACGUGCUCAAAGAGAGAAGGGUGGAGCUUCAGAGGAAAUUCCUGCCCUGUUGGAGGAUUCUGGGAUCUGCACCUGGGCUAAGGAACCCUGUCGGGGCUGCCAUGGGAGCAAGGGGCAGAUGCUGAUGAACUGAGGUUACUUUUGAAAAUAACUUAUUAAAAAUCAUGUGAAAAGCAAUAAGAGUGGCUUUUUCCAUCCCGUUAUUUUAAUCCAGCUGCUGACCUUGUCUCUGGGAAAAUAAUUAUUCUUGACUUCGAAGUGGGGAGGUUUUUUGUGCCAAAGGCAAAUGUCUAUAGAUUUAUACUAUUUGGAAAAAUCAAACGGCUGCAAGCCAAACCAUCCAGAUUAUAAAACACAACCAACCCUCCAGGGAUAAUUUAAAACUGACCCUGCAGCACUGAAAUUCCAACCAUAGAUGAUGCAAAACAUAAUUCACCAUUUUCUUAUCUCCUGGAUGCUCCCAUCAGUGUGGGCUUCAGGGACAAAGACCAGCCAGAGGAGACUGAAAGUAAAAAUAAAAUAAUAAUAAUAAAAAAAAAGUCUCCA